AAUAACAGUUGGAUUAUAUAUUGUAAUAUUGGUCUGUACUGCUAUGUGUAUAGAAUUCGUAUGCUAGCAGCCGAAAGGCGCUAGAAUUCAUGGGUUUUGUUUCACGAACAGAGACUUUACCGGCUGUUCGUGAAAUGAAUGAGCUACCACCCAAUAGCCCACACACAGAGGGUCGUGUGGCACUCGUUAACAAUGUUACAAUCGUUAGUUAAGAGCUUUCGGCUACCAAUCACGCAGCGGUUGGCCAUCUUGGAUCCUUUGUUUCACCAGUGGUGUUUGGUCGUCGAGCGCGUGGAACUGAAAACGGCUACUCUACGGC